UGGGGAAUAUUGCACAAUGGGCGCAAGCCUGAUGCAGCCAUGCCGCGUGUGUGAAGAAGGCCUUCGGUUGUAAAGCACUUUCAGCGAGGAGGAAGGUGGUGAGCUUAAUACGCUCAUCAAUUGACGUUACUCGCAGAAGAAGCACCGGCUAACUCCGUGCCAGCAGCCGCGGUAAUACGGAGGGUGCAAGCGUUAAUCGGAAUUACUGGGCGUAAAGCGCACGCAGGCGGUUUGUUAAGUCAGAUGUGAAAAUCCCCGGGCUCAACCUGGGAACUGCAUUUGAAACUGGCAAGCUAGAGUCUCGUAGAGGGGGGUAGAAUUCCAGGUGGUAGCGGUGAAAUGCGUAGAGAUCUGGAGGAAUACCGGUGGCGAAGGCGGCCCCCUGGACGAAGACUGACGCUCAGGUGCGAAAAGCGUGGGGAGCAAAACAGGAUUAGAUACCCUGGUAGUCCACGCUGUAAAACGAUGUCGAUUUGGAGGUUGUGCCCUUGAGGCGUGGCUUCCGGAGCUAACGCGUUAAAUCGACCGCCUGGGGAGUACGGCCGCAAGGUU
rnacentral:rRNA from 1 species